UACAGAGGGUGCACGCGUUGUUCGGACUUCUUGGGCGUAACGGGCGCGUAGGCGGUUCGUACAGUCAGACGUGAAAUUCCUGGGCUCAACCUGGGGGCUGCGUUUGAUACGUGCGGGCUUGAGUUCGGAAGAGGGUCGUGGAAUUCCCAGUGUAGAGGUGAAAUUCGUAGAUAUUGGGAAGAACACCGGUGGCGAAGGCGGCGACCUGGUCCGAUACUGACGCUGAGGCGCGAAAGCGUGGGGAGCAAACAGG
rnacentral:rRNA from 1 species